GACGAACGCUGGCGGCGUGCUUAACACAUGCAAGUCGAACGGAAAGGCCCUGCUUUUGUGGGGUGCUCGAGUGGCGAACGGGUGAGUAACACGUGAGUAACCUGCCCUUGACUUUGGGAUAACUUCAGGAAACUGGGGCUAAUACCGGAUAGGAGCUCCUGCUGCAUGGUGGGGGUUGGAAAGUUUCGGCGGUUGGGGAUGGACUCGCGGCUUAUCAGCUUGUUGGUGGGGUAGUGGCUUACCAAGGCUUUGACGGGUAGCCGGCCUGAGAGGGUGACCGGGCACCUUGGGACUGAGGUACGGCCCAGACUCCUACGGGAGGCAGCAGUGGGGAAUAUUGCACAAUGGGCGGGAGCCUGAUGCAGCAACGCCGGGUGCGGGAUGACGGCCUUCGGGUUGUAAACCGCUUUCGCCUGUGACGAAGCGUGAGUGACGGUAAUGGGUAAAGAAGCACCGGCUAACUACGUG
rnacentral:rRNA from 1 species